rnacentral:rRNA from 1 species
UACGUAGGCAGCGAGCGUUGUUCGGAAUUACUGGGCGUAAAGAGUGUGUAGGCGGUGCUCUAAGUUCGGUGUGAAAUCUCCCGGCUCAACUGGGAGGGUGCGCCGGAAACUGGAAUGCUUGAGCGUGGGAGAGGAAAGCGGAAUUCCUGGUGUAGCGGUGAAAUGCGUAGAUAUCAGGAGGAACACCUGCGGUGUAGACGGCUUUCUGGACCAUUGCUGACGCUGAGACACGAAAGCGUGGGUAGCAAACAGG